GACGAACGCUGGCGGUGUGCUUAACACAUGCAAGUGGUGCGACGAACCAGACUUCGGUCUGGGGCAAAGCCGCGAACGGGUGAGUAACACGUGGGUAAUCUGCCCCGAUGACUGGGACAACCCGAGGAAACUCGGGCUAAUACCGGAUGAUGUGCCUGGACAUAAGUCUGGUCACUAAAGGUAGCUUCGGCUUCCGCAUUGGGAGGGGCCCGCGGCCCAUUAGCUUGUUGGUGGGGUCAAGGCCUACCAAGGCAACGAUGGGUAGCUGGUCUGAGAGGACGAUCAGCCACACUGGGACUGAGACACGGCCCAGACUCCUACGGGAGGCAGCAGUGGGGAAUCUUGCGCAAUGCGCGGAAGCGUGACGCAGCAACACCGCGUGAGGGAAGACGGCCUUAGGGUUGUAAACCUCUUUCAGAUGGGACGAAGGUACGACGGUGAAUAGCCGAUCGGAUUGACGGUACCGUCAGAAGAAGCUCCGGCUAACUACGUGCCAGCAGCCGCGGUAA
rnacentral:rRNA from 1 species